GGAUGUGAUCAUACCAGCACUAAAGCACCGGAUCCCAUCAGAACUCCGAAGUUAAGCGUGCUUGGGCGAGAAUAGUACUAGGAUGGGUGACCUCCUGGGAAGUCCUCGUGUUGCAUUCC
rnacentral:rRNA from 1 species